CGAGGACUCCUCAGCUCAGCUUCUCAAAAUGAGGCUCCCUGCUCAGCUCCUGGGGCUGCUGCUGCUCUGGAUCCCUGGAACCAGUGGAGAUGUUGUGAUGAACCAGACUCCUCUCUCCGAGCUCGUCACUCCUGGACAGCCAGCCUCCAUCUCCUGCAGGAACCAGCAGGGAUACAGUGAGGAUGCAGUUUCCACUCUCCCUGCUGACACCCUUGACUCCCUGCCUUCAUCUUGGGAAGGAUCAGAGUCGGAAAAAUCACUCAAGAGGGUGGAAGUUUGUGCCUUGGUGAUGAAGGUGAUUCCUAGAUAAUAGAGCUCCUGGCGAAUGUAACUGAAAUCCCAAAGUCCUAUUUGUGAUGAGUAUUAAAUUUAUAUGCAAAUAUUUAUUUAUGUGGAAGAAAAUAUAAUUCAAAAUUUUUUAAAUUUAAAAAGAAUGUUGUGAAUAAGUAAUUUUUAAAAUAUUUGGAAUCCCAGAAAUGUAAAAGAAGCAAUUGUGGUGAAGGGAAACUGAUUAAAACCAGACAGUUAGUUGUCCUUACUUUGGAGAAACCACUAAAGACACUGCUCACAGAGGAGCAAUGACUCAGAGAGACAUGGAGGUAUGUAAAAGGCAUAUGGAGGAAGGCAGGAAUUUGUGGAUGAAUGUGUACUAAUAUUGGCUGCACAAAUGACGGGUGAGUACCUUGUACACAUUGAGAUGUACAUAAACCUGGAAAGCUUGAAAAGCAGUGUGUUAGCAGGAAAAAAAAGGAAAUAAAUGUAAUUAAAAAUUAUACUGCUUCAUAGAGUGGAAAAAGUCAAUCCUCUGGCUGUGGGAAUGGAAACAAGAGCUUCUGCCCAAGAGGCAUCUCCUCCACCACUGACCAACAUCCCACAACAUGCUCAAGACCAACCCUGAGCCAGGGCCACAAAGGAAGCCAUGGCCUGAUUCCUCACUCACAGAAAGGCAGGGUGGUGGGGAGGAUAAAAUGCUAAUAGCUUAGCUGCUGGGUUGGGGCAAUAUUUUAUAUAAAAUUAUACAAUCCGUAUAAUUGUAUGAGCCACAGAAAGUAAUGUUGUUUCACUGGAUAACGAAAACACGCAUAAUGUUAGCAUCACAGAAAGAAGGUCUAUGGCUGGAAAUGUUGAGUAGUUCCUGAAUAUUCCAUGAAGUAAAUGAGCUGACUUAUCCCGGUAAAAAUAGAGAGUGUCUUUUGUUUUUCUCUUUCAUGGUUUGCCUUGUUAAAGAGUGAUAUUUUGGGGGGUGAAAAACAGUUUUCUUUAACAGAUAAAAAUAAUGUUCAAAAAGUCAAUCAGAUUCCAGGGGGGAUGGAGCCUCCCUAGCCUGGGUCCCCACAUCAUUCUGUGGAGCACCCCUGCGUCACCCAGGAGCACACAGCCUUAACAAUAUGCUAUGGGGCCAGCUGUAAAAAGUACAGUGGUGACCUCCAUUCUGAGUGCUGUGAAUGCACAAAAGACAACCUGAGUGACAGCAAUGAGAGACAACGGUGUCUUGCUCAGUCCUAUAAUGAUGCGGUUUUCUUUUUUUAAGGCUUUUUAAAAUUUUUUGGUUGUAGAUGGACACAAUACCUUUAUUUUAUUUUAUUUCUUAUGUGGUGCUGAGGAUCAAACCCAGGGCCCCGCAUGUGCUAGGUAAGCACUCUAACACUGAACCACAACCCCAGCCCUAAUGAUGCUGUCUUAACAGAUAAAAAUAUAAAAUUAAUUAUGCUUGAAAGAUAGAUCAGCCUCUUUAGGGCUGAGGCUAUGGUGAGUGUAUUUCCAGGAUCAUGUCGCCCUCUGGUGGGCAAGAAGUGGAACAUCCUAGCGCAGGAUUCAGAGAGAGAAACCUCCCUGAAAGUGAGCUACCUCUGUGUCCACAUGGUCCUGUGCCCUGUGCUCUCCACACUGAUGUUCUGCAGCUCCAGGAAGACAGCUCGCCCACCUGUCCAUCAAAGGGGCAGACACUCACAUUCAGAGAGACGUUCAGAACCCAACUGUUAUGCCUGGGGACAAGGGAAGAAGGCAGAGCAGAUGUGUCUAACAGGUCACUCACUGAAUUCAGGACAAGUUCAGGCCAAAACCAGGUGUCAAGUCAAACCAGGCGUCCCGUCCUCCUUCUCCAGUACAGAGUCCAAAUCCAAGAAACAACAGGAUCAAAGACACCCAACAUACACCUUUCCAAAUACGCUGAACUUAUUUCAUGAGCUCCUUCAAGAUGAGACUUCUUUUGUCAUCUAAGGUCAGUGUGAAGUGAAAAAAUACCUUCCUGUCCCCACUGUUGUCUCUGGGAAGAGUUUGAACCUCAGCUUGUAAACU